rnacentral:rRNA from 1 species
AGUGAACGCUGGCGGUAGGCCUAACACAUGCAAGUCGAACGGCAGCACAGUAAGAGCUUGCUCUUACGGGUGGCGAGUGGCGGACGGGUGAGGAAUACAUCGGAAUCUACUUUUUCGUGGGGGAUAACGUAGGGAAACUUACGCUAAUACCGCAUACGACCUACGGGGGAAAGCAGGGGAUCUUCGGACUUUGCGCGAUUGAAUGAGCCGAUGUCGGAUAAGCUAGUUGGCGGGGUAAAGGCCCACCAAGGCGACGAUCCGUAGCUGGUCUGAGAGGAUGAUCAGCCACACUGGAACUGAGACACGGUCCAGACUCCUACGGUAGGCAGCAGUGGGGAAUAUUGGACAAUGGGGGCAAGCCUGAUCCAGCCAUACCGCGUGGGUGAAGAAGGCCUUCGGGUUGUAAAGCCCUUUUGUUGGGAAAGAAAAGCAGCAGGUUAAUACCCCGCUGUUCUGACGGUACCCAAAGAAUAAGCACCGGCUAACUUCGUG